CAGCAGCCGCGGGAAUACGGAGGGUGCAAGCGUUAAUCGGAAUUACUGGGCGUAAAGCGCACGCAGGCGGUCCGACAAGUCAGAUGUGAAAUCCCCGGGCUUAACCUGGGAACUGCAUUUGAAACUGUCAGGCUGGAGUCUUGUAGAGGGGGGUGGAAUUCCAGGUGUAGCGGUGAAAUGCGUAGAGAUCUGGAGGAAUACCGGUGGCGAAGGCGGCCCCCUGGACAAAGACUGACGCUCAGGUGCGAAAGCGUGGGGAGCAAACAGGAUUAGAUACCCCAGUAGUCCCUGUCUCUUAUAA
rnacentral:rRNA from 1 species